GAUAAAUUUCAGCACCUUCCUUCUCUUUUAUAUCUACAAAACAAGUGUUUUGACACUGGAAUCCAUUGAGAAUCAGUUUGUUGGUCAAUUUUUUUAAAGGGAAAGAUGGACUACGUCUAUGGACCAGGAAGGAACCAUCUGUUUGUUCCGGGGCCUGUUAAUAUUCCGGAACCAGUUAUUCGAGCAAUGAAUAGGAACACAAUGAGGAUUACCGUUCUCCAGCUGUUCCUGCUUUGACAAAGACUCUUCUUGAGGAUGUCAAGAAGAUUUUCAAGACUACUACAGCAACU
rnacentral:misc_RNA from 1 species